rnacentral:rRNA from 1 species
UACGGAGGGUGCAAGCGUUAUCCGGAUUUACUGGGCUUAAAGGGCGCGUAGGCGGGCAGGUAAGUCCGUGGUGAAAUCUCUGAGCUUAACUCAGAAACUGCCAUGGAUACUAUUUGUCUUGAAUAUUGUGGAGGUAAGCGGAAUAUGUCAUGUAGCGGUGAAAUGCUUAGAUAUGACAUAGAACACCAAUUGCGAAGGCAGCUUACUACACAGUUAUUGACGCUGAGGCACGAAAGCGUGGGGAGCAAACAGG